AAGUUUCUGGGGCAAGAAGCAGUAGGUUUAAGCCACGUUUCACAUAAACCAAUCAUAUAUACGUGGUGUUCCACAAUUAGAUAGUUUAUCAACAGUGAUUUUGAGGACAGUGACCUUAUGAUCAUGAGACCCAAACUAAGGACCGCAGUGGGGUUGACAAUUGAACUGUUGGCAUUUGGUGGUGGUUUCAGAGUAGUAUAUAUAAGAUGCCUAAAAUUAGGU